rnacentral:rRNA from 1 species
UACGUAGGGUGCGAGCGUUGUCCGGAAUUAUUGGGUGUAAAGGGCUCGUAGGCGGUUUGUCGCGUCGGGAGUGAAAACACGGGGCUUAACCCCGUGCCUGCUUCCGAUACGGGCAGACUAGAGGUAUGCAGGGGAGAACGGAAUUCCUGGUGUAGCGGUGAAAUGCGCAGAUAUCAGGAGGAACACCGGUGGCGAAGGCGGUUCUCUGGGCAUUACCUGACGCUGAGGAGCGAAAGUGUGGGGAGCGAACAGG